AGGGUUUGAUUCUGGCUCAGAACGAACGCUGGCGGCAGGCCUUAUACAUGCAAGUCGAGCGCAUCCUUCGGGAUGAGCGGCGGACGGGUGAGUAACGCGUGGGAAUGUGCCCUUCUCUACGGAAUAGCCACUGGAAACGGUGAGUAAUACCGUAUACGCCCUCAGGGGGAAAGAUUUAUCGGAGAAGGAUCAGCCCGCGUUAGAUUAGGUAGUUGGUGGGGUAACGGCCUACCAAGCCUACGAUCUAUAGCUGGUUUUAGAGGAUGAUCAGCCACACUGGGACUGAGACACGGCCCAGACUCCUACGGGAGGCAGCAGUAGGGAAUCUUGGACAAUGGGGGCAACCCUGAUCCAGCCAUGCCGCGUGAGUGAAGAAGGCCCUAGGGUCGUAAAGCUCUUUCGCCUGUGAUGAUAAUGACAGUAGCAGGUAAAGAAACCCCGGCUAACUCCGUGCCAGCAGCCGCGGUAAUAC
rnacentral:rRNA from 1 species